rnacentral:rRNA from 1 species
UGGGGAAUUUUGGACAAUGGGCGAAAGCCUGAUCCAGCAAUGCCGCGUGUGUGAAGAAGGCCUUCGGGCUGUAAAGCACUUUUGUCCGGAAAGAAAUCCUUGGCUCUAAUACAGUCGGGGGAUGACGGUACCGGAAGAAUAAGCACCGGCUAACUACGUGCCAGCAGCCGCGGUAAUACGUAGGGUGCAAGCGUUAAUCGGAAUUACUGGGCGUAAAGCGUGCGCAGGCGGUUUGCUAAGACCGAUGUGAAAUCCCCGGGCUCAACCUGGGAACUGCAUUGGUGACUGGCAGGCUAGAGUAUGGCAGAGGGGGGUAGAAUUCCACGUGUAGCAGUGAAAUGCGUAGAGAUGUGGAGGAAUACCGAUGGCGAAGGCAGCCCCCUGGGCCAAUACUGACGCUCAUGCACGAAAGCGUGGGGAGCAAACAGGAUUAGAUACCCUGGUAGUCCACGCCCUAAAACGAUGUCAACUAGUUGUUGGGGAUUCAUUUCCUUAGUAACGUAGCUAACGCGUGAAGUUGACCGCCUGGGGAGUACGGUCGCAAGAUUAAAACUCAAA